UAGAAUAAUUAAGAAUUAAUUUUCCGGGCUGUGAUUAUCACUUAUACCACACACAAUACUUAUAUAUUAUCAAAAACAGAUGUCAGGUUCAAUUCAAUUCGUUGGUGUAUUGUGCGUAUUUAAAUAAUUGUGACAUUAAUAUCUUGUACUGUCUAGCGAUACAGAGACUUUUAUCGAACUCAAGUCACCAUGAAAUAUUUACUUACAACUUUGAUGAUUGUUGCAAUCAUCUGCACAACUACAGAAGUAUUUGCCAGCUGGCCAUCGCGCAUCAGUUCAUGUGGUUUAAUAAGAUGCUUUAUUAAUGCUUGUACCAACAAAGUUUGCUUUGGCGGACAAGUAUGCAAAUCAAGUUGUAAUGGCUGUGUAGCUACAUGUAUCUAACAAAACCAAUCAUAAUACCAAAAAAUGAUGGUUAAAAUGGAAUCUUAACAGAAUUAUAAAAAUGUUAUAUUGUAUAGAAACAGCGCACAUAUACAUGUAGUAACUAAUAAAUAAUACAUAAUA